rnacentral:tRNA from 1 species
GCCUCCGUAGCUCAGUGGAUUAGAGCAGAGGGCUUCUAUCCCUCGUGUCACAGGUUCGAGUCCUGUCGGAGGUACCA